AUUGAACGAUGGCGGCAGGCUUAACACAUGCAAGUCGAGCGAGCGGCGGACGGGUGAGUAAUGUCUGGGAAACUGCCUGAUGGAGGGGGAUAACUACUGGAAACGGUAGCUAAUACCGCAUACAAUCAGAUGUGCCCAGAUGGGAUUAGCUAGUAGGUGGGGUAAUGGCUCACCUAGGCGACGAUCCCUAGCGGGUCUGAGAGGAUGACCAUCCCCACUGGAACUGAGACACGGUCCAGACUCCGACUGGAGGCAGUAGUGGGGAAUAUUGCACAAGGGGCGGAAGCCUGAUGCUGCCAGGCAGCGUGUGUGAAGAAGGCCUUCGGUUUGUAAAGAACUUUCAGCGAGGAGGCGUGACUCGCAGAAGAAGCACCGGCUAACUCCGUGCCAGCAGCCGCGGUAAUC
rnacentral:rRNA from 1 species